rnacentral:rRNA from 1 species
AUUGAACGCUGGCGGCAUGCCUUACACAUGCAAGUCGAACGGCAGCGGACCUUCGGGUGCCGGCGAGUGGCGAACGGGUGAGUAAAGUAUCGGAACGUACCUUUCAGUGGGGGAUAACGUAGCGAAAGUUACGCUAAUACCGCAUAUUCUGUGAGCAGGAAAGCAGGGGAUCGCAAGACCUUGCGCUGAUUGAGCGGCCGAUAUCAGAUUAGCUAGUUGGUGAGGUAAAGGCUCACCAAGGCGACGAUCUGUAGCGGGUCUGAGAGGAUGAUCCGCCACACUGGAACUGAGACACGGUCCAGACUCCUACGGGAGGCAGCAGUGGGGAAUUUUGGACAAUGGGGGCAACCCUGAUCCAGCCAUGCCGCGUGAGUGAAGAAGGCCUCGG